rnacentral:rRNA from 1 species
UAAGUAGGCGGUGGAAAAUGAACCAAAUGGGAUUCCUUAAGUAAUUGCGAAUGAACAAGGAAAUGCUCAGCUUGAAAAAUGGGGCCUUCGGCUUUGAAUUGUAAUUUUGAAAUGUAUUGCCAAUGGAGGCGCAGGUGCAAGCCUAUUGAAAGAAAGCGUCAAUGAGGGUGAGAUUCCUUUUUGUCAUUUGCAGUCCUCCGUGCACGGUAUAUAUUUGACGAGUCACACUCCUCGGCAUUGGAAUGCAAAGUGGGUGGUAAAUUCCAUGUAAAGGUAAAUAUAUUAUUGAGACUGAUAGCAAACAAGUACCAUGAGGGAAAUAUGAAAAGGACUUUGAAAAGAGAAUUAAAAGAGUCUGCAUUUGCUGAACAGAAAGCAAACAGAAUUGAUCUUGCCUGGUGAGAUUGUUGCGUCUACUUCUGCAUUUCUAUGUUGGAUGUGGGUGCGAUGGUUCUUGCCUUGAAUGUCAGCUUCUUUUUCUGCAAAUCAUUACCCUUGCACAUGAAUGGUAAUUUGCCUGCGGGUAUUGGAAUGCAUGUGUUUGCCAUGAUUUGUGAUUUGAUACAUGUGUCUGGUGGUACUUGUGUGUGUUCCUUUGUCAAAGGGGAAGGUUUGCUUCCUUGAGCACCUUAAGCCCUUACACAAAUGUGCUGGCAAAAUGUUUCUGCUUGACCCG